UACGUAGGGGGCAAGCGUUGUCCGGAAUCAUUGGGCGUAAAGCGCGUGUAGGCGGUCCGGUAAGUCCGCUGUGAAAGUCGGGGGCUUAACCCUCGGAUGCCGGUGGAUACUGUCGGGCUUGAGUACGGAAGAGGCGAGUGGAAUUCCUGGUGUAGCGGUGAAAUGCGCAGAUAUCAGGAGGAACACCAAUUGCGAAGGCAGCUCGCUGGGACGUUACUGACGCUGAGGAGCGAAAGCAUGGGGAGCGAGCAGG
rnacentral:rRNA from 1 species